UACGGAGGAUCCAAGCGUUAUCCGGAUUUAUUGGGUUUAAAGGGUGCGUAGGCGGUUUAUUAAGUCAGGGGUGAAAGACGGCAGCUUAACUGUCGCAGUGCCUUUGAUACUGAUGAACUUGAAUGUACUAGAAGUAGGCGGAAUGUGACAAGUAGCGGUGAAAUGCAUAGAUAUGUCACAGAACACCGAUUGCGAAGGCAGCUUACUAUGGUAUUACUGACGCUGAGGCACGAAAGCGUGGGGAUCAAACAGG
rnacentral:rRNA from 1 species